UGGCCGUUCUUAGUUGGUGGAGUGAUUUGUCUGGUUAAUUCCGAUAACGAACGAGACCUUAACCUGCUAAAUAGCCCGGCCGACUUUGGUUGGUCGCUGGCUUCUUAGAGGGACUAUUAGCGUUUAGCUAAUGGAAGUUUGAGGCAAUAACAGGUCUGUGAUGCCCUUAGAUGUUCUGGGCCGCACGCGCGCUACACUGACGGAGCCAACGAGUUUUUUCCUUGUCCGGAAGGACUGGGUAAUCUUGUGAAACUUCGUCGUGCUGGGGAUAGAGCAUUGCAAUUAUUGCUCUUCAACGAGGAAUUCCUAGUAAGCGUGAGUCAUCAGCUCGCGUUGAUUACGUCCCUGCCCUUUGUACACACCGCCCGUCGCUACUACCGAUUGAAUGGCUUAGUGAGCCCUUGGGAUCGGCGUUUGGAAGCUGGCAACAGCAUCCGAUUGCUGAAAACUUGUGCAAACUUGGUCAUUUAGAGGAAGUAAAAGUCGUAACAAGGUUUCUGUAGGUGAACCUGCAGAAGGAUCAUUAGUGAAUAACUCGAGGUUUCCACUCUGUGGACCUCAACCUUAAACACCAUAUCCUAACACCUGUGCACAUUUGCCGUUGUCGAACGAGGUUUUCCAAUGUGAGAUUUCUGAAGGCAACGGCUACUUAACAAUUAUAAAAACCCUGAGUAUCUUUGAAUGUCUAAAUUGAAACUUGCCUUUAUGGCAAUAAAGUAAAAUACAACUUUCAACAACGGAUCUCUUGGUUCUCCCAUCGAUGAAGAACGCAGCGAAACGCGAUAGGUAAUGUGAAUUGCAGAAUUCAGUGAAUCAUCGAAUCUUUGAACGCACCUUGCGCUCCUUGGUAUUCCUCGGAGCAUGCCUGUUUGAGUGUCAUGAAUCCUUCAAACCCCAUCUGUUUUUAACGAAACGGAUGCUUGGGUUUGGUCGUGAGUACUUUGCCUAGACAUCACAGUCUUGGGCUUGCUCUAAAUGUAUUAGCUGGACCUGCUCUUGUGUGCAGUACCCCCCUUGCUCAGCGUGAUAAGUCAUUUGCUGAACAUGGUUGUGGUCGAUACUUGAGCAACUAACUGGUCUGCUUCUAACCGGCGCAAGCCAAACUAUAUUUCAUGUUCUGGCCUCAAAUCAGGUAGGAUUACCCGCUGAACUUAAGCAUAUCAAUAAGCGGAGGAAAAGAAACUAACAAGGAUUCCCCUAGUAACGGCGAGUGAAGCGGGAAGAGCUCAAAUUUGAAAGCUGGCACCUUCGGUGUCCGCGUUGUAAUCUGGAGAGGUGUUUUCCGUGUUGGACCAAGUACAAGUUCCUUGGAAUAGGACGUCGUAGAGGGUGAGAAUCCCGUACUUGACUUGGAUGCCCAAUGCUUUGUGAUACGCCCUCGACGAGUCGAGUUGUUUGGGAAUGCAGCUCAAAACGGGUGGUAAAUUCCAUCUAAAGCUAAAUAUUGGGGAGAGACCGAUAGCGAACAAGUACCGUGAGGGAAAGAUGAAAAGCACUUUGGAAAGAGAGUUAAACAGUACGUGAAAUUGUUGAAAGGGAAGGGCAUGAAGUCAGACAUGCUAGUUGAGAUUCAGCCUUGCUUUUGCUUGGUGUAUUUCUUAGCUAGCAGGCCAGCAUCGGUUUCGGCUGUCGGAUAAGGGUAGAGGGAAUGUGGCACCUUCGGGUGUGUUAUAGCCCUUUACUGGAUACGGCUGCUGGGACCGAGGAACGCAGCGCGCCCUUGUGGCAGGCCUUUCGGGGUACUUUCGCGCUUAGGAUGCUGGCGUAAUGGCUUUAUGCCGCCCGUCUUG
rnacentral:rRNA from 1 species